rnacentral:rRNA from 1 species
UUUUGACCGUGCAAAGGUAGCGCAAUCACUUGUCUCUUAAAUGGAGACCUGUAUGAAUGGCUAGACGAGGGCUUAACUGUCUCCCCCUUCCAGUCAGUGAAAUUGAUCUAUCCGUGCAGAAGCGGGUAUAAUUAUACAAGACGAGAAGACCCUUUGGAGCUUAAGGUACAAGAUUCAACCACGUUAAACGACUCUACAGAAAGCACGAACUUAGUGGUGACUGGAUUUUUACCUUCGGUUGGGGCGACCACGGAGGAAAAAGAAGCCUCCGAGUGGACUGGGCUAGACCCCUAAAGCCAAUAGAUACAUCUAUAAGCCGCAGAACAUCUGACCAAUGAUGAUCCGGCUGAUAAAGCCGAUCAACGAACCAAGUUACCCUAGGGAUAACAGCGCAAUCCUCUCCCAGAGUCCAUAUCGACGAAGGG